CGUGAUGGGGAUAGAUUAUUGCAAUUAUUAAUCUUCAACGAGGAAUGCCUAGUAAGCGCGAGUCAUCAGCUCGCGUUGAUUACGUCCCUGCCCUUUGUACACACCGCCCGUCGCUCCUACCGAUUGGGUGUGCUGGUGAAGCGUUCGGAUUGGCGUUAGUGGGCGGUUUUCCGCCUCCUCUCGCUGAGAAGUUCGUUAAACCCUCCCACCUAGAGGAAGGAGAAGUCGUAACAAGGUUUCCGUAGGUGAACCUGCGGAAGGAUCAUUG
rnacentral:rRNA from 1 species